rnacentral:rRNA from 1 species
AGUGAACGCUGACGGUAGGCCUAACACAUGCAAGUCGAACGGCAGCACAGGAGAGCUUGCUCUCUGGGUGGCGAGUGGCGGACGGGUGAGGAAUACAUCGGAAUCUACUUUUUCGGGGGGGACAACGUAGGGAAACUUACGCUAAUACCGCAUACGGCCUACGGGUGAAAGCAGGGGAUCUUCGGACCUUGCGCGAUUGAAUGAGCCGAUGUCGGAUUAGCUAGUUGGCGGGGUAAAGGCCAACCAAGGCGACGAUCCGGAGCUGGUGUGGAGAGGAUGAUCAGCCACACUGGAACUGAGACACGGUCCAGACUCCUACGGGAGGCAGCAGUGGGGAAUAUUGGACAAUGGGCGCAAGCCUGAUCCAGCCAUACCGCGUGGGUGAAGAAGGCCUUCGGGUUGUAAAGCCCUUUUGUUGGGAAAGAAAUCCAGCUGGUUAAUACCCGGUUGGGAUGACGGUACCCAAAGAAUAAGCACCGGCUAACUUCGUGCCAGCCGCCGCGGUAA